GUACUGAAUUUUAGAUUACUGAUUUUGGGCACUCCAAGAUUUUGGGAGAGACCUCUCUCAUGAGAACUUUAUGUGGAACCCCCACCUGCUUGGCUCCUGAAGUUCUUGUUUCUGUUGGGACUGCUGGGUAUAACCGUGCUGUGGACUGCUGGAGUUUAGGAGUUAUUCUUUUUAUCUGGACUCAAGUGUCACUGAAGGACCAGAUCACCAGUGGAAAACACAACUUCAUUCCUAAAGUCUGGGCAGAAGUCUCAGAGAAAGCUCUGGACCUUGUCAAGAAGUUGUUGGUAGUGGAUCCAAAGGCAUGUUUUACAACAGAAGAAGCCUUAAGACACUGUGGCUUCAGGAUGAAGACAUGAAGAGAAAGUUUCAAGAUCUUCUGUGUGAGGAAAAUGAAUCCACAGCUCUACUCCAGGUUCUAGCCCAGCCUUCUACUAGUCGAAAGUGGCCUCAUGAAGGGGAAGCCGAGGGUGCCGAGACCACAAAGCGCCCGGCUGUGUGUGCUGCUGUGUUGUGAACUCCAUGGUUUGAACAUGAAAGAAAUGUACCUUCUUUCACUCUGUCAUCUUUCUUUUCUUUGAGUCUGUUUUUUAUAGUGUGUAUUUUAAUUAUGGAAAUAAUUGCUUUUUCACAGUCACUGAUGUACAAUUAAAAACCUGAUGGAACCUGG
rnacentral:lncRNA from 1 species